GCAGAGAUUGCCACCUCUGCUCGAAAAGUCACCUGCACCCAUCCGUAUGGAGAUAGACAUAUACACCAUCCGUCCAAUGGAGCAUGGAUCUUCAGAUGAGGAAACUGAGGCAUACCACAUUUAAACGACUCCUCCAAAGGCUACCGCUGGCAAGCAGUGGAGCUAGGAAUGUGAUCCUAGGCCCUCUGACUUCACCCCUACGCUACACUGCCUUUCAACGACCAUCCCAGCAACACUCAUUUCCACGAAAUUUCAGUGUUGGGCCCUGGGGACGUCAGAUGAAAAGAUGCGCCCUAAAGGACUGGACUCCAGUGAGGAGACCGACAGGUAAACAAACCACAUCUUGAGGUAUUAAGUGCAUCAGUGGAGACACAUCCAAGGCACAGAGGGAGAGAAGGGAGGGAUGAUUAGCUUCUGUGAAGCCUCUGUCCUAGUGCUCAGCCCUGUGGUAGAAACUCCCCCUCCAGCAGGUCAGGAGAAGCGCAUGUUUUCUUGGCUUUGAGAGGAGUCUGUUGAGUGGACCUUCAAAUGGUAGGCAGGGGACAACUUCAGUGAACAUGUUCUAAUAGCUGAGAACGGGUGCCUCACCUGUGGCCGAUUCACAAUGGACAGUGGAGAGCUGGGGGCAGCAGAUUUUAAGGGAGCAUCAGGCUCUCAGGAAGAUUGGGAGGUGGCUUUUGGGGCAGAGAGAGAGGGAGAGGUUUGGCCUCGGGAAGCUAGGCUGGAGGUCCUGUCCUUGGACACCCAAAGCAGGAGAGUGGAGAGCCAGGGAAGGGCCUGCAGGGAGAAAACAAGGAGGAAACAGGGAUUAACCACCUGUUUGGUGUAAGAAAAUGCAGCUUCAAAAGGAACGGGGCAAUAGUCUCUGGGAUGCAGUGAGGUUCCUGGAAGGAAGGAAGGAGCUGACUUGGAGCGAGAAUACCUGAAUUUGAGACUUGAUUUUGCCUCUCGGGAGCAUGUUAUCCUUUGAAUCUCAAUUUUAUCAUCUGUCUAAAUGGGCAUAAGGACAACAUACUUAUUACCUCACACAGUUAAAAGACCAAUUAAGAUAAUAUAUGUGAAAGUGCUUUCCAAACUAAAUAAUGCUAUGCAAAUGUGA